rnacentral:rRNA from 1 species
GAUGAACGCCGGCGGCGUGCCUAAUACAUGCAAGUCGAGCGAACGGACGAGAAGCUUGCUUCUCUGAUGUUAGCGGCGGACGGGUGAGUAACACGUGGAUAACCUACCUAUAAGACUGGGAUAACUUCGGGAAACCGGAGCUAAUACCGGAUAAUAUUUUGAACCGCAUGGUUCAAAAGUGAAAGACGGUCUUGCUGUCACUUAUAGAUGGAUCCGCGCUGCAUUAGCUAGUUGGUAAGGUAACGGCUUACCAAGGCAACGAUGCAUAGCCGACCUGAGAGGGUGAUCGGCCACACUGGAACUGAGACACGGUCCAGACUCCUACGGGAGGCAGCAGUAGGGAAUCUUCCGCAAUGGGCGAAAGCCUGACGGGGCAACGCCGCGUGAGUGAUGAAGGUCUUCGGAUCGUAAAACUCUGUUAUUAGGGAAGAACAUAUGUGUAAGUAACUGUGCACAUCUUGACGGUACCUAAUCAGAAAGCCACGGCUAACUACGUG